rnacentral:lncRNA from 1 species
ACUUCAGAGGCCGGUCACAAAUACUGGGUCCCCAGGUUACCUGCACUUCCGUCUGACAUGGCUACAAUUGGCGGGUUUCCACAGCUCCCCACUCCCAGGUCAUGGAGAUAAAAAGGACAGGAAAAGAAGACCGAAACGGAGCAGCCAGCACAAUAGGAGAAGCACAGUUUCGAGUUUCCAGACCAUUGACCACAAAGUGGAGAUCCUGCCCGGAGCAUGGCGCGUUGCAGUGGAACAUUUGAACUCUCCUCAUUUUCCCUGGAGCCAGAUCAACACCUGGUUGCUCCCAACCCCACCUCCCCAUGUCGAGCAGCAGACGCUGAUGUCUGGACAGGCAUGUUUCCAAGGGUCUAGCUGGUUCCCUGUGGGUCCCCAAUGUUUGGUGCAAUGCCAGGUACAUCACAGCCACUCAGAACACACUUGUUGAAUGAAUGAAUGUUGAAUAAACUCCUUAGUCUCAGACUUACAGGAAAAAGUUCAUCAGCUCAAAUGACAGGUGAAGGAUCCUCUCAUAUUUCUGCACCUGUUGGGCUGGGAAUCUGUGCCCUUAAUAAAUUUGCUUAGCAGCCCUUGGGAAAGCCACAUCAAGCGAUGGAAGGAGCACAGAGCUGGGAGUCUGGAUCCCUGGAUGCUAGUGCUGGCACAGCCAUCCCAGGAUGUGUAACUUAGAGUUUAGGUUCUACAGCCUAACACUUGAGUGUGCGGUUCUGUGCAGACAGACAAUGAAGUUCAGGGCUGCAGGCCGCAGAUCUAAAGGCUGAUCCUGGGUCAGACACGAUCUGCCUAAAUGACCCUGGCAAAUUAUCUGGUCUCUUGUGCCUGUAACUACAUCUAUAAAACGUCAGAAAUAUUGACCUGUCCCCAAGUAGGUGAACUUUAAGAAACAGGCUUUGGAAAUCUUGGGAAGAAUGAUUUAAAAGUACCGCUUCCUGCUGGUGACCCAACCUAAGCAUAGUGUGUGGAGGAAUGCAAACGAUCAGCCUUUCCCAUGCAGUCGGCCGCACUGAAGUACUGUGGGUGACGAAAAUGGAUCUGUUGCCUAAGCUGGGUGUGGAAAAACCACGUGCCAGGCUGGAAAUCGAUGAAUUCACACCUUCUCUCUCGCUCCCUCAAGUUGGGCUGUGAUAUGAAUGACCUUUCCUAGAAGCAAAAGGAGGAAGAUGGAGUGUGACCACAGCGUCUGCUGAAUGUCAUUGAGAUGGUCACAUUCUCACUGACAGAUGGAGACUUGGGCAAAAGACCACUGAGGUGUGCACCUUCCUACCACCUUUGAACAGAACUCCCUCUGCUCUCGUCUCUGCAGCUAUAAGGUUUUCUCCCACCACAUGGAAAGGUGGCAGAAAGCCACAAUUCUGGAAAGAUGAGUGUUGUUCUAGAAAACUACCCUGACAUGCAACAGGCUCGUCAGCCCCAUGGAUGAGAUGUUUUGAAUUUCUUUCCUCUCCAUUUCUACUAUCUUCCUAUUUUUCGUGUAACUAACCUCUAAACCUCUCCUUGGCGAUCAGGCCUCCCUUCUGAU